rnacentral:rRNA from 1 species
AUCCAAGGAAGGCAGCAGGCCCGCAAAUUACCCACUCCCGGCACGGGGAGGUAGUGACGAAAAAUAACAAUACGGGACUCUUUUGAGACCCCGUAAUUGGAAUGAGUACACUCUAAAUCCUUUAACGAGGAUCCAUUUGAGGGCAAGUCUGGUGCCAGCAGCUGCGGUAAUUCCAGCUCAAAUAGCGUAUAUUAAAGUUGUUGCGGUUAAAAAGCUCGUAGUUGGAUCUCAGUUCCAGACUGGGUGGUCCGCCCUACCGGUGGUCACUGCCUGUUCUGGAACAGCCAGCCGGUUUCUCUUGAUGAUCUUCACCGGUUGUCUUGGGUGACCGGCAAGUUUACUUUGAAAAAAUUAGAGUGCUCAACGCAGGCUGCGACGCCUGAAUAAUGGUGCAUGGAAUAAUGGAAUAGGACCUCGGUUCUAUUUUGUUGGUUUUCGGAACACGAGGUAAUGAUUAAGAGGGACAGACGGGGGCAUUCGUAUUGCGACGCUAGAGGUGAAAUUCUUGGACCGUCGCAAGACGAACUACUGCGAAAGCAUUUGCCAAGAAUGUUUCCAUUAAUCAAGAACGAAAGUUAGAGGUUCGAAGGCGAUCAGAUACCGCCCUAGUUCUAACCAUAAACGAUGCCAGCCAGCGAUCCGGCUGUGUUCCUCAAAUGACACGCCGGGCAGCUUCCGGGAAACCAAAGCCUUUGGGUUCCGGGGGAAGUAUGGUUGCAAAGCUGAAACUUAAAGGAAUUGACGGAAGGGCACCACCAGGAAUGGAGCCUGCGGCUUAAUUUGACUCAACACGGGAAAACUUACCCGGCCCGGACACAGGAAGGAUUGACAGAUUAAGAGCUCUUUCUUGAUUCUGUGGGUGGUGGUGCAUGGCCGUUCUUAGUUGGUGGAGCGAUUUGUCUGGUUAAUUCCGAUAACGAACGAGACUCUAGCCUACUAAAUAGGCGUUCCGAUCGUCUCGGUCGGACGUUCUCUUCUUAGAGGGACAGGCGGCGUCUAGCCGCACGAGACAGAGCAAUAACAGGUCUGUGAUGCCCUUAGAUGUCCGGGGCCGCACGCGCGCUACACUGGAGGAGCCAGCGUGUGCCUUCCCUGUCCGACAGGACUGGGUAACCCGUUGAGCCUCCUCCGUGCUGGGGAUAGUGGAUUGUAAUUGUUCCACUUGAACGAGGAAUUCCCAGUAAGCGCGAGUCAUCAGCUCGCGUUGAUUACGUCCCUGCCCUUUGUACACACCGCCCGUCGCUACUACUGAUUGAAUGAUUUAGUGAGGUCUUCGGACUGGCGCUCGGAGCGGCCCACGGGUCGCGCCGGCGUGCCGGAAAGAUGACCGAACUUGAUCAUUUAGAGGAAGUAAA